UACGUAGGGUGCAAGCGUUGUCCGGAAUUAUUGGGCGUAAAGGGCUCGUAGGCGGCUUGUCGCGUCGACUGUGAAAACUCGGGGCUCAACUCCGAGCUUGCAGUCGAUACGGGCAGGCUAGAGUUCGGUAGGGGAGACUGGAAUUCCUGGUGUAGCGGUGAAAUGCGCAGAUAUCAGGAGGAACACCGAUGGCGAAGGCAGGUCUCUGGGCCGAUACUGACGCUGAGGAGCGAGAGCGUGGGGAGCGAACAGG
rnacentral:rRNA from 1 species